GACGAACGCUGGCGGCGUGCUUAACACAUGCAAGUCGAACGGAAAGGCCCUUCGGGGUACUCGAGUGGCGAACGGGUGAGUAACACGUGGGUGAUCUGCCCUGCCCUUUGGGAUAAGCCUGGGAAACUGGGUCUAAUACCGGAUAGGACCACGGCCUUCAUGUGCUGUGGUGGAAAGCUUUUGCGGUGUGGGAUGGGCCCGCGGCCUAUCAGCUUGUUGGUGGGGUAGUGGCCUACCAAGGCGACGACGGGUAGCCGGCCUGCGAGGGUGAACGGCCACACUGGGACUGAGAUACGGACCAGACUCCUACGGGAGGCAGCGGUGGGGAAUAUUGCACAAUGGGCGCAAGCCUGAUGCAGCGACGCCGCGUGAGGGAUGACGGCCUUCGGGUUGUAAACCGCUUUCGCCAGGGACGAAGCGCAAGUGACGGUACCUGGAGAAGAAGGACCGGCCAACUACGUG
rnacentral:rRNA from 1 species